CUGCCCAACACCCUAGGAAGACCUCCCUUCCAGUCUUGGCUCAUACCCCCUUAGAGGGCCCCGUAUCCCACUUUUGAUUUUUUUGUUGCACUGUCAAUUGUUUUCUCUUAAAAUUACUGUUUGGGAAAAUAUUAUAUUCCCAUGAAAAUAAUUCAAACAUUAUCUAACGUCUUUCCAGGCCUACAUCCUUAGCCUCUCCCUUAAUGUAGUCACUAUUCAAAUUCUUUUUUUUUGUUCUUUGUUUUGGGAAAACCCAACUUGAGUGAGAUACAGUUCACAUACCAUAAAAUUCACCCAUUUCAAGCAAGUGAGUCCGUGUUUUUAGGAUAUUCACAGUUAUGCAACCACCACCACUAAUUUCAUAAAACUUUUAUCAACUGAAGACAAAAGCCCUCAAAAUCAUGAGCAGACUCACUCUUCAUUUCUACGUAGUCCCUCUCCCCCCAGCCUGAGGCAACCACUACCUAUUGUCUCCAUAGAUUUGCCUUUUCUGGAUUUUUCAUACAGAUGGGAUCAUACAACAUGUGCUCUUCUGUGACUGGCUUCUUUAACCUGACAUAAUGUUUGCAAGGUUCAGCCAUGUAGCAUGUUAUCACUGCCUUAUUUCUUUUUAUUAUGAAAUGAUACUCCAUGUUGUGGAUUUACCAUAUUUUGUUUUAAAGGUUUUUUUUUUUUUGUAGUCAUCAAGAAAACUUUUAAUGUAUGUCUCAGCAUAAUUAUACUCUUAAAAAUCGUAAAAGUGUAUGCUGAUGGGAUCACACACAUUGUUCUGCCUUUGUUCCCCAUUCCCCAGCUUUUAUUAUGAAAAACUUUAACCAUUCAAUGAAAGUAAAAGAGUCUUACAGUGAACACCAUAUAUUCGCCCUUAGCAUUUUACUAUGUUUGCAUUUACUGCUUUUGUAUCCAUUUAUCCUUUAUCCGUCCAUUGAUCCAUUUUAUUUUAAAAAUACAUUUCAAGGUAAAUUACAGACAUAAGUAAACUUUCCUCCUAAAUACUUCAACAUGUAUAUCAAACAGAAUUUAAUAUUUGUUUAUAGUUGUAUUCUUUUGGGGUAUAAUUUACAUACAGUGAAAUGAGUUAUGACAAACCCAUACACCUGUAAAAUCCAAAUUCUUACCAAGAUAGAGAACAUUACCAUCAUCCCAGAAAGUCCCUUAUGUGCCUUCCAGUUAAUUCCGAAAGCUCCCUGAUAUGAGAGAACUAUUGUGCCUUUUUCUCACCGUAGAUUAGUUUUGCCUAUUUAGAAUGUUGUAAAAGUGGAAUCAUGAAGUGUGUAUUCUUUUAUGUGAGGCUUCUUUUACACAUUGUAUUUUUGAGAUUAAUCCACAUUGAUGCAUGUGUCAGCUGUUUAUUCCUUUAUAUUAUAGAGUAGCAUUCCAUUAUGUAAAUAUAGCACAGUUUGUUUAUCUAGUCUCCUGUUAAUCGACACAUGGGCGCAUGGGCUGUUUACAGUUUUUGGCUUCUGUGAAUGAAGGUGCUAUGAACAUUCUUGUACAAGUUUUUUUUUGUGGAUGUGCUGUUAGUUUUCUUGCAGAUAUAUCUAAAAUGGAAUAUGGGGGUCAGAUAGUAGUGUAUAAGACACUAGGACUCUGGAAGGAGGGCAGAGUAGGGAGCAUCAGGAAUCUGUUCCCCCCAACCCCCACCCCACCCACCUAGACAACAAUUGCGUUGGCAAAACAUGAGGUAACUAUUUUGGAACUCUGGAGCCCAUUGAAGGCUUCUUAAUCCCAGAGGAGGUUGUGGAGGGAAAAUUACAGUUAGUUCUGGUCAAUUUCAGCUUUUAAUUACUCAUCCCCCACUCCCAGCCACGUGACAGGCGACUAUGUACAUUCCUGGAGUAGUGUGCACACAGUGUGGGAGCACUAGGGUGGGAAAAGGGGGAUCUGUCCUCCAAAUGUUAGAGAUCUGUAUUCUGAUUGCCAAUUGCUGUUUCUGAUCAUGAAGUUGCAAAGAGGCAGGCAGCCAUUGUUUUUGCACACCUCCAUUGUCCCUGCCCCCUCCCCACCCCCCCACCCCCCCCAGCUGAAGUGACUUCCAGAGGAUUUGAAGGGCUGGAUCCCUUUUUAUUGCUCUUUUAUGUUUCAUUUUUCUCCCUUUCAGGAGCCAGCCAUUAAAAGCUCAGACUUUUUUUUGUUUAUUUUUAUUUUUAUUUUCAUUUAUUGUGAGAGAGAGAGAGUAUGAAAGCAGGGAGGGGCAGAGAGAGAAGGGAGAGAGAGAACCCUCAGCAGGCUCCACACUGUUAGUGCAGAGCCCCAUGAGGGGCUCCAUCUUACAAACCAUGAGAUCAUGUCCUGAGCUGAAAUCAAGAGUCGAACACCUGACUGACUGAGCCACCCAGGCACCGUAUGUCAUUAUUUUUAAAUGUCUUAGCCUUUGGGCUUGAUUUCAGCUCAGGUCAUGUUCUGAUGAUUCAUGAGUUCAAGCCCUGCAUUGGGCUCUGUGCUAACAGUGCAGAGCCUGUUUGGGAUUCUCUUUUUCCCUUGCUCUCUUUCUGCCUCAUCCUCCAUUCUGUCGUCUGUCUGUCCCUCUCUCUCUCAAAAAUGAAUAAAUAAACUUAAAAAAAAAAACAACCUAACGAUAACAACAAAAACCAAUGGCAUAUAUGGGAAAAUAAGAAAGUGACCACAAAUGCCCAAGAAAAGGCUCAGAAAAGACGUGAGAAGACAUUAAGUUUCAAGCCAGGCUGAUCCUCAGCAUAGAAACAGCCUACAAUAAUUAAAAUGACAACAACAGCAAACAAAAACUAAUAAAAUAUAGUUAACCCUGGAGAAAGAGGAGAAUCUGAUUUCCAGUGUUACCACAUCAUUAGAUACAAAUGUCUAUGUCCAACAAAAAAAUUCCCAAAGCAUACAAAGAAACGAAAAUAUGGCCCGCUUAAAGGAAAAAAAUAUAUCAACAAACCUCCCAAAAAAGACCUAAUGGCAAGUAUACCAGGUAAAGAGUUUAGGGAUGCCUGGGUGGCUUAGUUGGUUAAGAGAUCAACUCUGGAUUUUGGCUCAAAUCAUGAUCUCGUUUGUUCAUGAGACUGAGUCCUGUAUCGGGCUCUGCGCUAGCAACACAGAGCCUGCUUGGGAUUGUCUCUCUCCCUCUCUCUGCCCCUCCUUUCCUCUCUCUCUCAAAAUAAAUAAACUUAAAAAAAAAAAAAAAAGACUUUAAAACAACUGUCUUCAAGGUGCUCAAAGAAAAAGAAAGAUGUGGAGAAAUUCAGAAAAAUGAACAAGCAAAAUGGAAAUAAUCAAUAAAGACAUAGAAAACUAAAAAAAGAACAACCAAAAAAGACAUUGUGGAGCUGAGAGUUAAAAUAACUGAAAUGAAAAAUUCACUAGAGAGAUGCAAAAGUAUUUUUGAGGAGGCAGAAGAAAGAAUGAGCGUGCUCAAGGAUAGGACAAUAGCAAUUAUUAAGGCCAAGGAACAGAAAGAAAAAUGAUUGAAGAAAAGUGACUAGAACCUAAGGCAACUGUGUGGGUCACCAAUAAGUAGACCAACAUAUGCAUCAUGGGAGUUCCAGAAGAGAAGAGAAAAGGGCAGAGAAUAUUUGAGGAAAUAAUAGCUGAAAACUUCCCAAAUUUAAUGAGAGAUGUGACUAUAAAUAUCUAAGAACUUCAAUGGACUCCAAGUAAGAUGAAUUCAAAGGGAUCUAGACUGAGACACAUUAUAAUCAAACCAUAAAAAGCAAUAGAAUCUUGAAAGAAAAUAUUGAAAGCAGCAAGAGAGAAGCAAGUCAUCACAUACAAAAGACCUUAACACAAUUAUCAGCAGAUUUCUCAUUGGAAACUUUGAAGGGCAGAAGACAGUGAGCCAACAUAUUCAAAUGUUAAAAGAAAAAACCAUCAACAAAGAAUUCUGUAUCCAGGAAAACUGUCCUUCCAAAGGGAGAGAGAAAUUAAGACAUUCCUGGAUAAACAAAAGCUGAGGGGGUUUGUGAACAUUAUACCUGCCUUGCAAAAAAAUGCUCAAGGGCAUCCUGCAGGGUGAAAUUAUUGGUUUACGUUUGGGGUACACAAUGUAUGUAGCUAAAAUUGUGUGUCAUCAACAACUGAAAAGGGUGGGAACAGAGCUAUAAGAGAGCAGUAUUUUUAUAUUGUUGAAGUUAAGCUGGUAUAAUUUCAAAUUAGAGUGUUAUAACUUAAAGAUGUUAAAUGUAAUCCCCAUGAUAACCACAAAGAAAGUAGCUAUAGUAUAUACACAAAAUGAAAUGAGAAAGAAUAUAAACAGUUCAGUAUAAAAAAUCAACUGAACCCAAAAGAAGAUAAUGCAGGAAAUGAGGGAUAAGAAUGCUAUAGGGCCUAGAGAAAUAAAUAGCACAAUGACAGAAGUAAGUCCCUCCUUAUCAGUAAUUACUUUAAAUAUAAAUGGAUUAAAUUCUCCCUAUCAAAAGACAGAGAUUGGCAGAAUGGAUAAAAACAUAUGACCCAACUAUAUGCUAUCUAUUAGAGACUCACUUGGGAAACAAAGACACAAACAGGUUGAAAGUAAAAGGAUGGAAAAAAGACAUUUCAUGCAAAUAGUAAUCAAAAGAGAGCAGGGAUGGCUAUAAUAUCAAAAUAGGGUUUAAAUUAAAAAAAACUUUACAAGAGUCAAAGAAAGACAUUUUAUAUUAAUGAAAGGUUCAAUACAACAAUAAGAUGUAACAAUUAUAAACAUAUAUGCAUCUAACGAUAGACCACAAAAAGAUAUGAAGCAAAAAACUGACAGAACUGAAGGGAAAAGUUUACACUUAUGAAUAAUUUUAUGGCAAAAAAUUUAGAUAACCUAGACAAAUUUAUAGAAACACAAAAUUUACCAACACUAAAUUACAAAAAAUAGAAAACCUGAAUAGACCUAUAACUAUUAAGGAGAUCUACCAGUCAUCAAAAAUCUCCCAACAAAGAAAAGUUCUGGUCCUAAUGGUUUCACUGGGAACUUCAAACAAACAUUUAAAGAAGCAUUAGUAUUAAUUCCAGAAUUAAAUAAUUAUUAAUUAAUUCUAGAAUUAAUACUAAUUCUUCUUAAUUACUUCCAAAAAAUUGAAGAGGAAGGAGGAUUUUCCAACUCAUUUUAUGGCCAGCAUAAUCCUGAUAUCAAAGCCAGGAAAAGAUAACUACAAAAAGAGAAAACUAUAGAUCAAUAUCCCUCAUAGGCAUUGAUGUACAAAUCCUUAAAAAAAAUACUAGCAAACAGAAUUCAGCAGUGUUUUAAAAGGAUUAUACACCAUGACCAUGUGGGAUUUAUUGCUGGAAUACAAAGGUGAUUAAACAUGGGAAUAUCAAUCAAUAUGCCAGAUCAACAAAAUGAAGGGAAAAAAACACAUGAUCAUCUUAAUUCAUGCAGAAAACUCAUUUGACAAAAUUUAACAUCCUUCUUAAUAAAAAUACUCAACAAAAUAGUAAUAAUAGGGAACAACCUCAACAUAGUAAAACCACAUAUGAAAGACCCACAGCAAAGAUGAUACUCAAUGGUGAAAGACUGAAAGUUGUUCCUCUAAGGUCAGGAACAAGGCAAGCAUGCCCACUUUCACCACUUGUAUUCAACACAGUACUGGAAGUUCUAGCCAGAGCAAUUAGGCAAGAAAAAGAAAUAAACUGUAUCCAAAUUGAAAAGAAAGAAGUAAAAUUAUCUCUGUUUGCACAUAAUACAAUCUUAUGUGCAGAAAACUCUAAAGACUCCAUAAAAAAAUUUUUAGAACUACUAAAUAAAUUAAUACAAAGCAGAAUACAAAGUCAACACACAAAAAUCAGAUGCAUUUCUAUACACAAUGAACAAUCUGAAAGGGAAAUUAUAAAACAAUUCCACAUACUGAAUAACAUCAACAAGAAUAAAGUCCUUAUGAAUUAACUGAGGAGGUGAAAGAUUUGUACAAUGAAAACAUAAAACAUUGCUGAAAGAAAUUAAAGAAGACAUAAAUAAAUGGAAACAUAUACCGUGCUCAUGGGUUGGAAGACUUGAAUUUGUUAAAAUGUCAAUAGUACCCAAAGUGAUCUAUAGAUUCAAUGCUACUACUAUCAAAAUCCCAAUGAAAUUUUUUUUUUAGAAACAGAAAAAUUCUUUUAAAAAUUCAUGUGGAAUCUCAAGGAAUCCCGAAUAGACCAAUCUUGAAAAAGAACAAAGCUGGAGGACUCACACUUUCUGAUUUUAAAACUUACUACAAAGCUACAUAUAGUAUUGGCAUAAGGACAAAUAUAUAGACCAGUAGCACAGAAUAGAGAGCCCAGAAAUAAACCCUCACAUAUACGGUCAAAUGAUUUUGCCAAGGAUGCCAAGACUAUUAGAUGGAGAAAGGACAUUCUUUUCGACAAGUAGCGCUGGGAAAACUGAAUACCCACAUGCCAAAGAAUGAAGUUGUGCCAUUGCCUAACACCAUAUUAAAAAAUUAACUCAAAAUGGAUCAAGAUUCCAAAUGUAAGACCUAAAACAAAACAACUCUUAGAAGGAAACUAGGACAAAAUCUUCAUGACAUUGGAUUUGGCAAUGAUUUAUUGGAGAUGAUAUCAAAGGCAUAGGUAACAAAAGAAAAAAUAGACAAAUUGGACUUAAUGAAAUUUCAAAAAAAUUUGUGCAUCCAAAGACACUAUCCCCAGAGUAGAAAACCCACAGAAAGGGAAAAAAUGUUUACACAUUGUAUAUCUGAUAAACAGUUGAUAGCCAGAAAAGACAGAGAGCUUCUAAAACUCAAUAACAAAACAACCCAAUUUAAAAAUGGGCAAAAGACUUGAAUUUCUCCAAAGAAGAUACAUGUAUGGCCAAUAAGCACAUGAAAAGAUGCUCAACAUCAGUAAUCAUUAAGAAAAUUAAGAAAUGUAAUCAUUAAGAAAAUUAAGCAAUUAAGAAAAUUGCUGUGGGUUUUUUAUAUACGGUUUUUAUUAUACUGAGGUCGUUUCCCUCUGUUCCUAUUUUGUUGAGUAUGUUUAUCAAGAGAGUCCCAGGUCUUUCCUUAUCUUUCAUGACUGACACUUUUGAACAGUACCAGUCAGUUAUUUUUUUAGGAUGUCCCUCGAUUUGGGUUUUCUGAUAUUUUCUCAUGAUGAGGUUGAAGUUAUGCAUUAUUUGGAAGGAUGCUUCAGACACGAUGCUCCUCUCUUAGUGCAUAUAUUAUAGGUACAUGAUGCCACUGUAUGUUACUAGGCUGCAGAGAAUAUUCACAUAGUCUUAUUAAUGUAAUCCCUGAUUACAGAUGCAAUUAAAAUGGUGAUAGAACUAUGUUAGGAGGAUGGGAAGCAUACAUAGGUCAGGCAAAGUUAAGCUAAAUCAUUAUUACUAGUAAUGUGUAUAGAGUCGCUAAAUCAAGGAAUAGUAGUAAAAAGAAUUGGAAAUGUGGGAGCAACCAUUGACAGUUUAAGGAGUUCAAGUUAACUAAAAGUAGUCAAAAAGGACGGGAGAGAGUUAUCCUACAAAAGAAGCAUGACUGUCUUUCACCAGAGUCUUAAUGCCUGAGAAAUAGGUCAAAUAAAUCGUGUGCAUUCUUUUUUUCAAAAGCCUAGUAAGACAGACCGCAGACAGCCUCAGCAGCAGAUUGAGACGUGCCUGUUGGUAUAAAAGGGGCUCUCUCUCUGAGGCCAGAGUAAUUACGAUGUGGAAGGAUAAAGCAGAUCCAGGUCAAGCAUUACGGAGUAACAUGUUGAGCCCACAUCCCCCUAAAUACAUAACUUUUUUUUUUUUCUGAGUUUUUAAGAAGGCAAGCGUCAGGGAUUGACCUGUGCCACUGUUUACUGUAUCCCAGAUUAGAAAGAAAGCUGGCACGCAGAGCCUUCUAGCUUGCUUGAAUGAGGAAAUGUGAACAUCAGAUGGUGUUAAUUAGUUAGGCAUUUCCAGGCUAUUUCACGGACACAAAAAGGAUAUUAUCACUGUUCCACACGGCACUGCAACACCUGGUGUACUCAGACAAUAGCGAAUUCACAUCCCAAGCCAUGUGAAGUGUCAAUGAUUGUGAUCAAACAAAUCAAGCCUGUGGAAUCUCGAAGGCAAGCCCUUGCCUUGUGGAAGCCCGGGGGUGGCUGCAGGAGGGUCUGAGAGGAGGCAGUUGGAAGAUGGAGGGGAGCUUUCAUUAUCGCUUCCCCAGCCUCUAAAUCUGAGGCCCCCAAAGGUCGCGAGGCUUCUUUGUGGGGGUGUAGUCCUGCUCUCUUCUAAUUGGCAAUUUGGUGAGGAAUUAUCACAGAGGGAAACCUCUGGAGAUUCAUAAAACGCGGCAUGAACAGAUUAGCUAAAUUACAGCAGUGAGAGAGGGAAGGGAAUUGCUGGGCAAAAGCACUUUUAAAAGCUCAUGAAUAAAAAGCACAUCAGUUUGGGAGGCUUUGUUUUCAUUAUGAAAUUGCAUGUCUCUUUUCAUCUUUACUGCUUCCUAUAGUAUCACAGCUUUGCAGGAAAGUGUGCACGUCCCACAUGAACAGCUCAUGAGGGUAUUUACUGAUCUCUUUUUAAAGAUAAAAGUGAGAAACCAAAGUGAGAAGUAGAGGACAAGUUGGGAGAGACUAUAUUCUGCUGUCACCAUCCAGGGACCAGUGGCUCGAUGCUCCGGGGUACACCAGGUGGCCAGGGGUGGCCGCACCUCUCUGGAAUUGUCUCCACUCCUUGAAGGGCCUCACGCAUGAGCCCCUGUGGGGAUGCCCGCAGCUGUCGUCCUGCUAACUUCAUGCUGCAGCCAGCAACACCUCGGAAGGUAGUAAAAGUCUUCAGGUGCGGCCUGAACAAGAAAUAGGACUACAAAUGAGUAAAGGGAUACAUGCAAAGGCCCUGCUGUGGUUUUCCCAGGAAACUCAUGGUUUGUUUCCAUCCCAUGACUCAUCACUGAUUCAGUAAGUGAAAGAAAGCCUGAAGGAAAGCCAGUGGAUUGUUCUGAAUAUCACUGUUCUGGGAUCACAGGGAGCCAUCUUUGAAUCUGCUCACCACUGUCUGCCUCCUGGCUCCCAGUGGUUUACCCCCUUCUGCGUAUCCCUCCCAUACACAAAGUACAUUCACCUCCUUCCAAGGGGAGCCAAGAGCCUCAACAUCCAGAAUCUCAUGAUCUAAGUCAGGAACUAUAGUCUUUGUGUGAAAUUCCACCAGAUUUAUCAAUUGUUUAAACCAGAGAGACAAGUUAUCUGCCCCUUGCCUCUGUGACCUGCAAUUAUGGAAUAGGCAUAGAUUAAUACCUAUGGACACUUCAGUUCAAAAGGCAGAAAUGGGAGGUACAGAAGAGUGCUGGGAAUAAUUCUCCUUGGCUCUGCCUCCUGGGUUCUUGAUUCCAUCCUGUCUUUUUAAAUGAAAGAAAGGACAUAUUUACAGUGUAAUAAUGCCAUCAGUCUGCUUCCUGCAAGUGGGAUUUUGUGAGUCCAAACGCCUCUUUUCUUGGUACUAUUUCUAUCCCUUUCAGCCCAACGUGGUAGUAUUUUUGAUGAAAUAACUUUCUCAAAAACUUUAGGCAUCUUCCAUGGAUUUCACUGGGGCUCGUUCCAUUCAACAAGAACCACUUCUUACAGAUAUUUUUGAGAUAAGCCCUUUUGAGAUACGCCCUUCUCCACCAUCUCCUGCUGGGAUGGCUGUGGGACCAGGCUCCUAAGCUUCCCCCUGGCCCUUUGAUUUGAUUUAGAGGAUCUGGGAGACAUAGCCUUAAUGUCUUGAGAGGACCCUUUACGUGACUCUGCUUUUCUGAUCUGUCUUGAGAUUUUAACAAAAGGUUGUAAAGUCACACUCUUGGUUUUUUCUCCUUGCCAUAUUUUCCUGACAGUGCAAGGAAGCCAUUCCUUAAUUUUAACAUCAUUUGCCAUCUGAGAAGUCUAAUACUUUUCAAAAUUAAGUGCUGUUCUUUGUGUAACGGGUUUCCCUCAAUUUAUCUGUCAUCCUUGUGCAUUUUAUUAUUAUUAUUAUUUUUUUUUUUUUAAUUUGAGAGAGAGACAGAGAACAUAAGUGGGGAAGAGGGACAGAGGGUGUGAGAGGGAGAGAGAAGCAGGCUUCACGUUCAGUGCGGAGCCUCAUGUGGGGUUCAAUCCCACAACCCUGGGAUCAUGACCUGAGCUGAAAUCAAGGGUCAGACACAACUGACUGAGCCACUCAGGUGUCCCUUCCUGUACAUUUUAAUAUGAGCAGCAACAAGGAAUCAGGUGAUACCUUCUUCACUUUGCUUAGAAAUCUCUUUAGCUAACUAAUCAAGGUCAUUCCUUACAUGUUCUGCUUUCAGUUUAGCUGCAGGAGACAACUUUGCUGAGCUAUCUGCCACAACGUGGUAAGCAUUUCCCUUUCUCUGUUUUCCAAUAACAUGUUCCCCACUUCCUUCUAAGACUUCAUCAGCAGUGUCCUCAGAAUCCCUUCUACUAACAAUCUAUUGAAGCCAGUUUAGGUUUUGCCUCUCAUAUCCUUCAAAAUUCUUCCAGUCUCCACACAGUUCCAAAGUCACUCUUGUAUUUUUAUGUAUUUGUUACAGCAGCGCCCCACCUUCACAUACCAGUCCAUAUUGAUAGGUUUUAUGUACGUCUCCCAAGCUGAGUUAAGGGAAAUUGAAGGUUGACGCACUCUGAUUUAUUUUGUUUUUUAUUUUUAUUUUUAACAUUUAUUUAUUUUUGAGAGACAGAGCAUGAGCGGGGGAGGGCCAGAGAGAGAGGGAGACGCAGAGUCCAAAGCAGGCUCCAGGCUCUGAGCUGUCCACACAGAGCCCGACGCGGGGCUCGAACCCAUGCACCGUGAGAUCAUGACCUGAGCCGAAGUCGGACGCUUAACUGGCUGAACCACCCAGGCGCCCCAACUCACUUUGAUUUCUUAAGUGUUGAAUGAAAGCUUAGCGAACUUCAGCAGCAUGUUAGGUGUAAGAAAAACAAUUUGAUGGCAUUUACCUUUUUGUGAAAUGUUGGCACUAUUGUCCUGACUCUAUUAUUCCAUCAUAAUAGAUAGAUUUCUUUUCUCUGCACAUUUAUAGGCCUGUGGGGUUCAGUCUGUCUUCUGAGUGGGUAGGGAAAAUUUCCUUGAAGCAAAGCCACCGGGUAAAGAUUCUAGGCUUAGCAUCAAGGACAAUGCGUAAGUGGCUUAGAGGGUAUUAGGGAUGGAACAUUUGGUGCUGGGUUUGUGUUUUCUGAUCUCCAACCCAUUUCAAAACAUGGAUUCCCCAGUAGGCCAUUGGGCCACUGCCUGCAUGUUUCCUCCAGCACCCUGACCUUUGAGCAGGAUGAGAGUUCCUAUGAUGGCUGUCCCCUGGGGUAGCAGCCAAGGUACCCAACCAUCCUGACACAUGAUAAAGAAGCUUCAGGCUAGAAAGCACUCCUGGCAACCCUGUUCUGCCUCUAAUGAGUCAAGUUGGCAGUGAGAUUCCAUGACCUGCGUCCACUUCUGGGAAUACACCCAGAAGCCCUGGGAUCCCACCUGGGGGCUUCCCACAGCUCAAGAUACUGCUUGGUAUUCAUUCUUGGUCCCCACUAAUCUGGAACAUUUCCUGUAGCAAAUACCAGGAUGACAAAUCUAUAGACAUCUGAAUGCCCUAAGAAUCAUGCCUGUCUAACUUGGUCUGUAUCACAUGAGCUUAAUUCAGCAUGAUCUCAUGAGUGCCACGGGCACAUCCUUAUAACUUAGUGUCCUUAUAUCUGAAUUGAUUGAGUGAAUCAUUCUUCUGCAUGGGAAAUUGUUAUUACACGUACGGCACCCAUCUUUAUAGAUGUUUCCAUUUCAUCUAGGUCAAUGUAUUCCUCAGUUCUAACUAGGAUCCUGUUCUCCACUCUCACAUAAAUAUAUUCUCUUUCUUCUUUGAAAGAUUAGUUUUUACUUCUUAUAUAUUAGGGAAGCUCUCUCAGUCAUGGGUGGCCCUGUCUUGUAAUUACCUCCAGGAGUUUUCGUCCAACUUUCCAAUCAGUUUUAAUUAAACUCAUUAUCUGUUUUCCUUUUUAGGUGGAUAGGAGGCAGAGUUCCCAGGAACAGGGUUGUAUGGUAAUAAUUGUUUCAGUUGAUGUGAGAAAUAGGCAGUCUUAGAGUCUCUUGCUAAGCAGAAAAUGCCAAUUCUUUAAGAAGAAAAGUACUUAUAAAGGUAACUCUUGUUUUAUUAAUUAUUUUAGAGUAGGUUCCUAGGCAAGUCAAGAUGAAUCACAUUAUUUUUGAUCAUCAGUCCUGGAGUGUAAGUUGUCCACAGGAAAACAAAGGAUAAGCUGGUUUGGUAGAGACAAGCAUACCAUUUCUUCAUCUGUGCCUGUCUGCUCUCAAGAACAGAUGGGCCCUUCUCUUUUCUCUUUGCCUAAGGUGUAGUGAGUUUAAUGGUAGCCUCUAAAAUAUAUGUUCAACCAGAACCUGUGAAUAGGACCUUAUUUGGAAUGGGUCUUGGCUGAUGUAAUUAUGUUAAGAAUCUUAAGAUGAGAAGAGUGCCUGGGUGACUCAGUCAGUUAAGCUUUUGACUCCUGGUCUCAGCUCAGGUCUUGAUCUCAGGGUCAUGAGUUCAGGCCCCACAUUGGGCUCCACACUGGGCAUGGAGCCGACUUAAAAAAAAAAAGGAUAUUAAGAUGCGAUCAUCCUGGGUUUGGAAUAAGCUCUAAAAUCAAUGUCAGGUGUCUUUAGAAGAGAAAGGCAGAGGGAGACAGAGACACAGACACAAAAAUAUGAACACACAGAGAAGGUGAUGUGAGGACAGAGGCAGAGAUUGGAGAUAUGCAGCCAAGGAACACCAAGGGUUGCUGGCAGCCAUGAGAAUCUAGGAAGAAGUCAGGGAAUGGAUUCUCCCUCAGAGCCUCCAGAAAGAACCAAUCCUGCCCACACCUAGGUUUUGAACUUCUGGCCAGAAUUAUGGGAGAAUAAAUUACUGGUUUGUGCUAAUUUAUUAUUGCAGCCCUAAGAAACUAACACACAUGGCAUGUGGCAGGGAUGUGGUGGGUUACUAUUUGCAGUAUCUUUUGGUAUCAUGGGAUAAUCUGGGUUCCCUUCAAGAGAGAGAUUUGGGGACCAGAAGGUUAUUUGGAGCUGGUGGGUUCAGACUGGCUAUUUCAAGGCCUUUGAAGUCAAAGGAGGCCAAGACAGGGGCUGGAGGUCUCCUGGCCCCAUAACACCAAGCACUUGGCUGAAGGAGGAUCAGAAAGGAGUCUACUUCUGUCAUGUGAGACCAGUCCAUGCUGUCUGGGUGGAAAACUAACACUUGCUGAGACAAGAUUUAUUUGGGCUUAGAUAAGCAUAAGGAGAUUUCCACAGAUUGUCCUCUCCUAGGCAGUACUGCAGGCCAGAAAAGAGGUAGCCAGGCCCAUUCUGGGUAUAUUUGAAUCUUAAGAAACACUAGCCUACACUGUGGAAAACAGUAUAGUGGUUUCCCAAAAUAUUAAAAAUAUUACCAUAUGAUCCAACAAUUCCACUUCUGGGUACAUACUCAAAAGAAUUGAAAGCAGGCUCUUAGAGAUAUCUGUACACCCAUGUUCAUAGCAACAUUAUUCACAAAAGCCAGAAUGUGAAAGCAACACGAAUGUCCAUCCACAGAUGAAUGGGUAAGGAAAAUGUGGUAUGUGCAUACAAUAGAAUAUUGAGCCUUAAAAAGGAAGGAAAUUCUGACAUGUGACAAUACAGAUGAAUUUUGAGGACAUUAUGUUAAGUGAAAUAAGCCAUUCAUAAAAAGAUAAUACCUAUAUAAUUCCACUUAGAUGAAGUACUUAGACUAGUCAAAAUUAUAUUUGAGAUUUUCCUUGCUUUUUGAGGUAGGCUGUAUUGCUAUAAACUUCCCUCUCAGAACCACUUUUGCUGUAUCCCAAAGAUUUUGGACCAUUGUGUUUUCAUUUCAUUUGUUUUCAUGUAAUUUUUAACUUCUUGGUUGACCCAUUCAUUGUUUAAUAGCCUGUUAUUUAACCUCUGUGUAUUUGUGCUCUUUUCAGACUUUUUUCUUGUGGUUUAUUUCUAGUUUUGUAGUGUUGUGAUUAGCAAAGGUGCAUGGUAUGACUUCGAUUUUUUUGAGAUUUGUCGUGUGGCCUAACAUGUGGUCUAUUCUGGAGAAUGUUCCAUGUGUAUUUGAAAAGAAUGUGUAUUCUGCUGUUUUAAGAUGGAAUGUUCUGAAUAUGUCUGUUAAAUCCAUCUGGUCUAGUGUGUCAUUCAAAACCACUGUUUCAUUGUUGGUUUUCUGUUUGGACGAUCUGUCCAUCAAUGCAAGUGGGCUGUUAAAGUCUCCGACUAUUUUUGUCUUACUACCAAUUAUUUCUUUUAUGUUUGUUAUUAACUCCUUUACCUAUUUUGGUGCUUUCAUGCUGGGUGCAUAAAUAUUUACAAUUGUUAUAUCUUCUUGUUGGAUUGUCCCCUUUAUUAUUAUAUAGUGUCCUUCUUUGUCUGUUGUUACUAGACUAGUCAAAAUUAUAGAGACAGAAAAUAAAAUGGUGGUUGUCAGGGGCUGGGGAGAGGGAGGAACAGAGGAGUUAGUGUUUAAUGGGUACAAAGUUUCAGUUUUACAAGAAUGAAAAGAUUUAUGGAUACAGAUGAUGGUGAUGGUUGCCCAACAUUAUGAACAUACUUAAUAUCAUUGAACUGUAUGCUUAAAAAUGGUUAAGAUGGUAAAUUUUGUAUAAUACAUAUUUUAUCAUAAGAAAAUAAUUGGAAAAAAAAAGAAACACUGGACUAAUGGACUAAUGCCUUGGCAGAGUCCCCUGAGAGAGAAGUUGAGAGAUAGUCUAUUUGACAUUUUAUCAGUCAGGGCUCUCUACAAACACUGGCACAUUUAGAUCCCUACAGAGUAAAAAUUAAUUGGAAAUAGCUAAUCUUAAUAGAGAAAGAGGAAAGAAUGGCCACUCUCCCUUGCUGGUCACCUGUUGUGGAGAAUCUAUAGACUUCCACUAGUGAUGUCAUCCUCAAAGCUGCCAGAGGGGCCAGAGGAUCUGAGUUCUAACUGGGAGCAAGUUUGUGCAGGUACUGUCUUCACUGAGACAGAAAAACGUGCUACACAGAGGGGAGAACAAUUCACUUAUGCCCAUGAGACCUGGGUUCUAAUUCUGGCUGUGCUGCUAAUUUCUGCUUGGUAUAUAUCCAUUGGAUUUUUGACUGCCAACAUCUGAAUCCCCUUCCUACCCAUGGGAGAAUCCACAGAGCUCAUCUCCUGCCACUUUCCUGGGCUUUAGGAUCUAGAAGAUGUGUCCAUUUUUCAUCCAGUGAUGAGGGUCCACUGUGUGCAUCCGGUGUCCAACGGAGAAGGUCCAAGCAGAGCUGAAAAAGUGAUGAAGCCUGCCACAGAAUAUUCUUUAUGGAGCGCUGAAAAACCCGCUAUGACACCAUAGUAUCCUAAAGCUAUCCUGGAAUGUUAGUGAUCUUGAGUUACAAGUUCUUAAGAGGAAAGAUUACAGAACUCUGUGAUGCUUUGAAAAAUUCCUACUCACAACCUUUUCUCUUUUUCCUCCACCUGACAAGCUAUUCUUAAAACCAUUGUCAUUACUACUAUUUUCUGUUUCUUCAGAUUCACCUGCAACCCCUCAAAAAUCCUUGGUUGUGACAUCUUGAGAUUUUGGAACAAUCUGGCUCAUUAUUGUGACUAGAAACCAGAUAAUGAAUUUUGUGUUUGGCUUAACUACCAGGGAAAGGAGCAUGGAGACAUAAGCCACACAUAGUCUUUCUAGUAUCUUACUUUGAUCAAAUGUCAGGGUUAUGAAUAAUAGAAAUCCUGGUUUAGUUGGGGAGUUGACUAAAUAUCACAGAGUUACUAUGUUAUUCUAAAGUAAACAAACAUGUCUUUUGUUGUCUUUGUCUUUUUGUCCUACAGAUGUAUUUUUAAAAGCUUUAUAUUUUAAUAAUGUGGAUUCAUUGCUAUUGAUGACAUCUGAUCAGUAGCUUACGAAUAUGAAUUGGAAGAUUAAUUAUCUAGGGGAAACUUUGGAAAGGGCUGGAGAAUGUUUCAUUAACAGCAGAGCUGGGUUUCCACGUAGAUGCCGAAAGCACUUCCGUUCCCAGACCUCCUUAUAGCUCUGAUUAUGUGUCCUGAUUCUGGCCAAUGUGAUUAAAGAGGAAAUCAGCAGGAAACUUCUGUAAGGCCUUUCCUCUCUUAAAAGAGAAAUGCUUGUGACAGGGUCGAGCGGUAUCCUGUGGAAUGGACGUGCCACAGUUCAUUUAACUACUCACCGCUGAAGGACACCUGAGUUGUUUCCAGUUUGCAGAUAUCAUGAAGAAAGUUGCUGCGAACAUUUGUACAGAUUUCUGUGUGAAGAUAAAUCUCCAUUUCUCUGGGAUAAAUGCCCAAGAGAGCAAUUUCUGGGUCAUCUGUGUGUUGGUUUAUUUAUCAUUUUCACUGGAGUAUUGACUUUUGAGGACAGGUUCUUAGCUCUUGGAUUUGCAUCACAUAUACUCAGCAUUUGUGUGACAUAUGGUGAUACUCAAUAAAAAAUAUGGAAGGGCAGAAGAAAGGAAGAAAGAAAAGAUAAAGAAAGGCCAGGAGGAGAGAAAUCUAUCCUUCCCUUAAGUUGUUAGCUAUUCCACUUCCAGACCUCCCAGCAUCAUUUUUUUUUAAUGAGUCCGGUAGCUCCAGGGCUGGAUAGUGCCCAGCACAGAGUAGUUGCUUACUAACUAUGUGCUACAUUAUGCAAUGAAUAUUCUAGAGAGUAGAGCAGCUCUUCUCUUCUCUGGCCCCAUCCUCCCUUUGCCCUGCGCCGUCACUCAAGCCCAAGCACGGGCACACAAAGGCACACGCGCACACUCUGGGGCCAUGUCCUAGGGAUCUUUUUCUGGAACCAAGCCAACAACUAACAAAUGAGGUGCUGUUGCUUCGAAGCUGAGCUAACAACAGCCUUGGCCUUGUCUGUGCAACUGCCUAGGAAAUUACAAAUGCAGGAUUUGGGGACCCAGCCGCUUUGUGGACUCAUUCCAAUGAGAAUACAGGAUGCACUUGAAAUAAAGAAUGCUUCUUUGUGACUCAUUAAGCUCUUCUCCGUUCCUCUCUAUUAGGCAUGUGUCUGCCAUGCCAGGCAAAGCUAUGACCUUCAAAAGUGGAAGAGUCAGGCGGAAAUAAAAACAUUCCACUUCAGCGCCUAAACCAUGUGCCCCUUAAUCUGAAAUAAAUCUGUGACAACUGACAGCUACUUCUUUCAGACAGUUGUGGAGAAAGGCUUGACUUGUCCUAGUAAAUCAGACACAGGCUUCAUUAUUUUUAGUCUCGUUAAAAAAAAAAAAAGUUACCAUAGCAACUGCACCAUCAUCUAGGGCAAAUAUUAUCUAAGUCAAUAAAAAGAAGAGCUGUCCCAAAUACCCAGUACUUUGAAAGGAAGAAAUAUCUUUUCAAUAAAAUUAAUUUCUUCCAAGACGUCACCAUUUGUCUUCAUUUAUAAACCCAGAUUUUCCCCCCUCUGAAUAAGGGACAUUAAAAGCAACAUACAACUUUGUAAAAUCUAAGGCUGACCUCUCUUGUAUCUGUUUGCAGAAAAUCAUUAAUUCUAUUAAUUCCUUGAAACACAUAGCUUCAUUUGUGGCUUUUUAAUUCAUCCACAGGAGGCAUAAUGCUAAUCGAUUUGACCCUUGGUUAGAGCAUUGUGUAUUCUGAGAGGACAAUGAGGAAAAAUGUAUCAGAGCACGCACAUCUCAACUCUUAAGAGAUCAUCGGAAGUUAUACAGCCAACAACUCUGUGCCUGUUGGCCCUCACUGAGUAGCUGUGGAACAGAGUGGGUAUUCAGUACACGUUGGAUGACUUGGCUAAUUUGACUCUGUUCCUGGUCAGAACUGAAAUGGUUUGGGAGUCUUUAUGAAGAUUUAUCCAUAUACUGAAUUUUAGAAACAUGGUAAAAAGAGUGUACCCCCAAAGUGUGAGAUUUGGACCUUAAAAAACUAAAUCUUACCCUGCAGACUUUUUUCCUACUGAAAAACGUGUUGUUAAUUUUAGCGUCACAUCAAAACACCAUAGGCUGGCCGGGGAAGCAAUUUUGGUGCCACCCCAUGUCUCCUGGUUUCAGAUGCUGGUGGGCUCUCAUAGUCCCCAACGACUGCUUUUUCUAUUCUCAGACUUACACUUUUUUCCUUUUUUCCACAUUUAGUACCUUUGAGGUCAGGGUAUGUGUAACACCGAUUGGCGUCGUAUAAUUUCUUAUUGGCAGCUUCUUAUUUCUUAGAAGUACACACAAUAAUGACGGGAAAGAAAGAGAAGCAACAUUUGUCGCCUGCUUAUCAUGUAAAAAGCACUGAGAUGAGCAAUUUAUAGGUGUCAUUUUGUAGAAUCGUCACAUGAAGCCUAUGAAGGAGGCAUUUUCUGUUUUGUAGAGGGCUGAGACCCCGGGGGUGACGAGACUUGUCCAAGAUCACAAGUUGGCAAGCGUCAGAGUCAAGAUUUGUGUACAAAUCUGGACGACUUUAUUGUAAUAGGACACUUUGGGUUUUCCGUCUGACUUGCCCUCAGCUUGUUCUGUUCACAGAACA